CUCGCGGCAAGCACAACCGGGAAUACAGAUUCGUGAACAUGGGGCAUCACGUACCACCCGGAGCAGGGCAGCCUCUACUCAGGCCGGGAAACAGAAGGCAGUAGCCGAGGAGCCUCCUGAGGGGGAGUCCUCUGAUGAUGACGAUGUGAGCCUUGCUGAGGUAAUUGCUGCUCAUACUUGCAAACGCGGUCGCGCCCAAAUCGCUGAAGAGGACUUUGAGGACGACGAGCCUCUGUCA